rnacentral:rRNA from 1 species
AGAGUUUGAUCAUGGCUCAGAGCGAACGCUGGCGGCAGGCCUAACACAUGCAAGUCGAGCGGCCGUAGCAAUACGGAAGCGGCAGACGGGAGAGUAACACGUGGGAACGUACCCUUCAGUUCGGAAUAGGCCAGGGAAACUUGGGUUAAUACCGGAUACGUCCGUAAGGAGAAAGAUUUAUCGCUGAAGGAUCGGCCCGC